rnacentral:rRNA from 1 species
UACGGAGGGUGCGAGCGUUGUCCGGAAUCACUGGGCGUAAAGGGCGCGUAGGCGGCGCGGAUAGUCGGCGGUGAAAGCCCUCAGCUCAACUGAGGAAGUGCGCCCGAAACUGCAGAGCUUGAGUGCCGGAGAGGAGGGUGGAAUUCUCGAAGUAGAGGUGAAAUUCGUAGAUAUCGGGAGGAACACCGGUGGCGAAGGCGACCCUCUGGACGGACACUGACGCUGAGACGCGAAAGCGUGGGUAGCAAACAGG